rnacentral:rRNA from 1 species
AUACGUAGGUGGCAAGCGUUGUCCGGAUUUACUGGGUGUAAAGGGUGCGUAGGCGGGGCAGCAAGUUGGAUGUGAAAUCCUCGGGCUCAACUCGAGAACUGCAUUCAAAACUGUUGCUCUUGAGUGCAGUAGAGGCAAGCGGAAUUCCCGGUGUAGCGGUGAAAUGCGCAGAGAUCGGGAGGAACACCAGUGGCGAAGGCGGCUUGCUGGGCUGUUACUGACGCUGAGGCACGAAAGCAUGGGUAGCAAACAGGAUUAGAUACCCUGGUAGUCCAUGCUGUAAACGAUGAUUACUAGGUGUGGGUGGACUGACCCCAUCCGUGCCGGAGUUAACACAUUAAGUAAUCCACCUGGGGAGUACGGCCGCAAGGUUGAAACUCAAAUGAAUUGACGGGG